rnacentral:tRNA from 1 species
AGUGUGAUGGCUGAGUUUAAGCGAUAAAUUGUAAAUUUAUUUACGGGUUUUAUACCCUCUUACUA